CAAUUGUUGACUCUUGUAUAUCCUCACACGUUGCAUCUUCUGAACUUGUAACGGCAUCCCCACCACCUUGGACUUCUUCUGGCAUUUUGAGUUCAUGUUCCUUUUCUUGAUUUUCCUCUUUGCUCACUAUCUCAUUCUCAUUCAAUUCAGGUUUAGCCUUCUCUGAUCCUGUCACUUCACACACCUCCUUAACCAAUGGGCUUUCAAACUCAUCAUUGACUAUAGCAUCUUCCUCAAUCUUUUCUUCAUUUUCCAUAGUUUCUUUUUUAGGUUCUAUUUCUGUUGAGCUGCAAACAUCAGUAGUAAUGACAUGCAGCAACCCUUGUUGCUCCAUAUUUUCUUUUGUUUCUAUACUAGAUUCGAUUUCUUCAAUGUUUUCCUCUACACUUUCUCUCGUUUCAACAACUUCAGGUUCUUUACCUUCUUCUUGGUAGUUCUUUUCUUGCAAGUCUUCUUCUAAGGCUGCAACCUGUGAGCUUGUUACAUUAUCCUCGCCUUGACCUUCUGUUGACAUGUCAACCUGAUCCUUUUCUUGUUCUUCAUCCUUGAAAGUUUCAAUAGCUUUUACCUCUUGUUCAGAUUCAACCUUUUUUGAGCUAGUCUCAUCGCAUACCUCCUUGGUAGUCUCUUCAUAAACCUCCUUCAUAGACUCUUCAUUCUUUUGUUCAGUUUCCGUGGUCUCUUCUUGAGAUUCUGUUUGUGCUGAUAUGCAAGCUACCUCUUGAGCAUCACUUGGUUUUUCCUCUGUUUCUUCCAUAAGGAUCUCUUUAGGCAUUAAACCUAUCGCUUGUCCCUCCUCUAAAUAGGCCACUGUAGUGUCCUGUUGACCAACUGUUGUUUCUUUUAUAUCCUCACACGUUGCAUCUUUUGAACUUGUAGUUGUAACAUCAUCCCCUAAACCUUUUCCUGACACAUAAACCUCUUGUUCCUUUUCUUCAUCUUCAACUUUGUUCACUAUUUCUUUCUCAUUUGUUGUUUCUUUUACCUCUUCGCUAUAUUCAACUUUCUCUGAACUGGUCUCUUCACAUACUUCAUUGACUGGGGAGCUGUCAACAUUUUCCUUUUGACCAUUAUCACUCUGAAUAGGCUCGUCACUUUUUACUUCAUGUUCUUCACUUUCUACCUGAGAUUUUGUUUGUGAUGUGAUGCAAUCAUCAUGCAACAGUUCUUGCUGCUUGGUUUCAACACUUGGUUUGAUUUCUUUAGUAUCUUCCUCUUGCUCAAUCUCUGAACAAGAUUGAACAGUUUUGUUGUCGCUUUCAUCAGGCUUUUGUUCUGUUUUGUCCUAUUAGAGAAAAAGUAUUCAGUUAGAUAUGAUGAUUUAUAUAAAUAGGCUCAAAGUUUUUAAAAACAAUCUCUGUGGUAGGUUUUUUUCAUUGUUCUUUUUUAAGAUAAUUGUGAGUGACAGUUGUUCUUUAUAACAUUAACAUGAUUCUACAUUGCUUAGUAAUAAAACAUUAAAAGUUUUAGUAGGAAAGAUAUACAAGUAAAACCUUUUGGAUUGUUCAGAGUUAACAUGGGAUGAACACGAAUUACCUCUUGAGCAUCAAUUGCACUCUGAUUCGGCUCCUCGAACUCGAUAUCAGCCACUGGGGUAGCCUUUUGACCAAUUAUUGUUUCUUUUAUAUCCUCGCUGGAUGCAUUCUGUGAGCUUGUAACAUCAUCUCCACCACCUUGGACUUCUUUUGACAUUUUAAUCUCUUGUUCCUUUUCUUGAUUUUCCUCAUUGUUCACUAUUUCAUUCUCAUUCAAUUCAGAUUCAGCCUUCUCUGAGCUUGUUGCUUCACAUACUUCCUUCACCAAGGGGCUUUCAGACUUAUCUGUUUGACCAUCAUCAUUCACCAAUGCCUCUUCAUCAAUCUUUAUAUCAUCUUUUGUUUCGGCACUAGAUUUGAUUUCUUCAGUAUCUUCCUCUAAAUACUCUCUAGGUUUGACAAAUUCGGGUUCCUUACCUUCAUCAUCAUAUUUUGUUUCUGGUAAGUCCUGUAUAGAAGUUGCAUCUUGUGAGAAAGUGACAUCAUCUUUUCCUUGGUCUUCUUCUGAAAUGAUGGACUCUUGUUCUUGUUCUUGUUCUUUUUCUUUUUCUUGAUGUUCAUCUUUGUCAGAAGGUUCUACCCCUUCAAAUUUACCCUUCUCUAAGUGAGUUUCUUCACAUACUUCAGUCACAUCUUCAUCGUCUGUAAUCUUUACCUGCUCCUUUUCAUCUGUUUCCACACUUGGCUUGAUUUCUUCAGCAUUUUCAUUUUUGUUGACACUUUCCUCGGGCUUUUGUUCUAUUUUUUCAUUUGCUCCACUCUCAUCCUGCUCACUUGCCUAUAUGAACACAAGUAUUUUGAGUACAUGUGGAGAAUAAAAGUAACACAUCAUGAUAAGUCUAAUGCAUAGUCAAACUUUUAAAACAAUCUUUGUGGCAGCUUCAAAAAAAUUUGUGAGCCAAAUUUGCUAUAAACUACUUUAUAGAAUGGUUUUCUCUAAACAUUUAUCGUUUUAUGAACUCUAACUCUUCUCAACAAAUGAAACUAAACGUUUGGAUGAGACAAGCAUUUGACAUUAAAAUUAUGUAUGAAAAUCAUAAUAUUGUCUUAUACUUUUAUAAAUUAAACAUAAAACUAGUAAGAAUUAGCCUUAACAUUUAACAAUACAUUAGUAUAAUAUGUGAUUUUUAGUUUCUCUUACACAUGAGAUAAGAAAAUAUGUAGCAGACAACAACAUUUCCAUAUGUCAUAAUGAUUAUAGCAUUUCAAAUUCUAGUAAGACUGAUCUACAAUUAAAACUGUAAAACCUUUUAGGAAUAGUUAGGUUUACUUAGAAUGAACAUGAAUUACCUCUUGCACAUCAGUUGAUUUGUCCUCUGCUUCUUCCUUAAGGAUCUCCUUAGGCGUUGAGUUUAGAGCCUGUUCCUCCUCUAAAUAGGCCACUGUAGUAACAUGCUCACCAGUUGUUGUUUCUUUUAUAUCCUCAAAUGUUGCAUCUUGUGAACUUGUAACAUCAUCCCCUAAACCUUUUCCUGACACAUAAACCUCUUGUUCCUUUUCUUCAUCUUCAACUUUGCUUGCUAUUUCGUUUUCAUUCAGAUCGAUAUUAACACUGUCAGAAAGUUUUAACCCUUCUUCAGAUUCAACCUUCUCUGAGACAGUCUCUUCACAUACUUCCUUCACCAUGGUCUCUGUAUUAGAACUAUCAGAGUAGUUCACCUCUUCUUUAUAUUCAAUUUUCUCUGAACUAGCCUCUUCACAUACUUCAACACUUGGUUUGGUUUCUUCAGUAUCUUUCUCUUGCUCAAUUUCUGAACCAGACUGUACAAUUUUGUUGUCACUUUCUGCAGACUUUUGUUCUUUUUUGUCCUAUUAGAGAAGAAAUAUUCAGUAUAUUAUACGACUGAAAGAAAAGAAAUGAUGAUUUAUAUAAACAGGCUUAAAGUUUUUAAAAACAAUCUUAAGGGUAGGUUUUUUUCAUUGUUAUUCUAUAAAAUAAAUGUGAGCGACAGUUGUACUUUAUAACAUGAAUCUACAUUGGUUAGUGAUAAAAAAAAGCAUUUCAAGUUUUAGUUGGAAUGAUGUACAAGUAAAACCUUUUGGAUUGUUUAGGAGUUAACAUGGUAUGAACAUGAUUUACCUCUUGAACAUCAAUCACACUCUGAUUCUGCUCCUCGAACUCGAUAUUAGCCACUGGGGUAGCCUGUUGACCAAUUGUUGUUUCUUUUAUAUCCUCACUGGAUGCAUUCUGUGAUCUUGUAACAUCAUCUCCACCACCUUGGACUUCUUCUGACAUUUUAAGCUCUUGUUCCUUUUCUUGAUUUUCCUCUUUGCUCACUAUUUCGUUCUCAUUCAAUUCAGAUUCAGCCUUCUCUGAGGUUGUCGCAUCAUAUACUUCCUUCACCAAGGGGCUUUCAGACUUCUUUGUUUGAUCAUCAUCAUUCACUAAUGCCUCUUCAUCAAUCUUUAUAUCAUCUUUUGUAUCAGCACUAGAUUUGAUUUCUUGAGUAUCUUCGUCUAUAUUCUCUCUAGGUUUGACAAAUACAGGUAAGUUCUCUAUAGUGGUUGCAUCUUGUGAGCAUGUGAUAUCAUCUUUUCCUUGGUCUUCUUCUGAAAUGAUGGACUCUUGUUCUUUUUCUUUUUCUUGAUCUUUAUCAUUGUCAGAAGGUUCUACCCCUUCAAAAUUUCCCUUCUCUAAUUGAGUUUCUGCACAUACUUCAAUCACAUCUUCUUCAUAGUCUGUAAUCUUCACUUGUUCCUUUUCAUCUAUUUCCACACUUGGCUUGAUUUCUUCGGUAUCUUCAAUUUUGUUGACAAUUUCCUCGGGAUUUUGUUCUAUUUUUUCGUUUGCUCCACUCUCAUACUGCUCGCUUGCCUACAUGAAAACAAGUAUUUUGAGUACAUGUGGAGAAUGAAAGUAAUACAUCAUGAUAAGUCUAAUGCAUAGUCAAAGUUUUAAAACAAUCUUUGUGGCAGCUUCCAAAAAAAUUGUGAGCCAAAGUUGCUAUAAACUACUUUAUAGAAUGGUUUUCUCUAAACAUUUAUCAUCUUAUGAACACUAACUCUUCUCAACAAAUGAAAUUAAACCUUUGGAGGAGACAAGCAUUUGACAUUAAAACUAUGUAUGAAAAUCAUAAUAUUGUCUUAUAUUUUUAUAGAUUAAACAUAGAACUAAUAAGAACUCUAACUCUUCACUUACUUGUUGCUCCGUUUCAACACUAGGUUUGAUAUCUUCAGUAUCUUCCCCUUGCUCUGUUUCUGAAGAAGACUUUGCACUUUUGUUGACAAUUUCCUCAGGCUUUUGCUCACUUUUUUCCUCUGCCUCAUUAUCGCACUUCUUGCUUGCCUAUUCGAGAAAAUAUUUUCAGCAUAUAGGAAGAAUGAAAGAAAAGAAAUGAUGUUUUAUACGAAUAGGCUCAAAGUUAUUGAAAACAAUAUGUGUGAUGUUUCAUUGUUCUUUCUUUAAACAGAUUGUUAAUGGAAGUUCUUUAUAACGUGGUUUUUUCUAGGCAUUUAUCAUUUUCUUGAACAUCAUGUUAGAUUGGUAUGGCAUGCGCUUCGGGCUCAACAAUGGUGGAGGAGAAGAAUAUUUGACAUUAAAACAGUGCAUGAGGUUCAUAAGAUGAGUCUUAUGGUUUAAGCAUAGAGUAAGUAAGAAAAAGCAGCAACAUUUCCAUAUUUGUACAUACUCUACAACUUAAUAUAAACUAUGUCCAGAAUUUGUGUAUGUUAUCUUGUUUAGGGCCUUUAUAGGGCAUAAUGCAUGCUUCUUAGUUUUUCUUUUUCAUAAACAUGAGAUAAGAAAUUAUGUAGCAGACAACAUUUCCAUAUUUCUUAAGAAUAUGGCAUUUCAAAUUUUAGUUGGAUUGAUUUACAAGUAAAACCUUUUUGGAAUAGUUAGGGUUUCCUUAUAACGACUAAUGAACAUGAGUUACCUCUUGAGCAUCACUUGGUUUGUCCUCUGCUUCUUCCUUGAGGAUCUCUUCAGGCAUUGGACUUAGACUCUGUGCCUCCUCUAAAUGAGCCACUUCGGUACUAGCAUGUUCAUCAAUUGUUGUUUCUUUUAUAUCCUCACAUGUUGCAUCUUGUGGACUUGUAACAUCAUCCCCAUCACCUUGUCCUUUUCCUGAAACAUAAACCUCUUGUUCCUUUUCUUCAUAUGCUAUUUCAUUCUCAUUCAAAGCGAUAUUGGAACUGUCAUAAAAUUGUAACCCUUCUUCAGAUUCAACCUUCUCUAAGAUAGUCUCUUCACUAGUUCUGAUUUCUUCAGUAUCUUCCCCUAUACUUUCUUUAGUUUUAACAACUUCAGGUUCGUUAACUUCACUGUGGUGUUCUCUUUCUUUUAAGCCUCCUUCAUAAGUUGCAUCAUGUGAGCUUGUAACAGUAUCAUCACCUUGGUCUUUUUCUAAUGUGUUGCCCUCUUGUUUCCUUUCUAGAUCUUCAUCUUUGCUUAAAAUCGGUAGUGUUUUCUCGUUGAUCUCUACAUUAGAACUAUCAGAAUGUUUGACCUCUUCUUCAUAUUCAACUUUCUCCGAACUGGUCUCUUCAUCUACAAUUUUGUUGACAUUUUCCUCAGACUUUUGUUCUCUUUCUUCCUUCACACACUCCUCGCUUGCCUAUUCGGGAAGUUGGUUUUGUUUUUUCAGUAUACAAGAAUUAUGAAAAAAAAAAAUAAAUGAUGAUUUAUAGGAAUAGGCUCAAAGUUUAUGAAGUUAAACCUUUUGGAAUAGUUAGAUUACUUAAAAUGAACAUGAAUUACCUCUUGAGCAUCACUUGAUUUGUCCUCCUGUUCCUUUUCUUCAUCUUCAACUUUGCUUGCCAUUUCAUUCUCUUUCAGGGCAAUAUUGUAACUGUCCGAAAGCUGUAACCCUUCUUCAUAUCCAGUUUUCUCUGAAACAGUCUCUUCACUUGCUUCUUUUACAAUGGGGCUUUCAGACUUGAUCUCUGUUAAAGAACUAUCAGAAUGCUUUACCUCUUCUUUAUAUUCAACUUUUUGUAAACCAGUUUCUUCACUCUGAAUUGCUUCAUCAUUUUUUAUUUCAUGUUCUGCACUUAUUACAUGAGGCUCUGUUUGUGAUGUGAUGCAAUCUUCAG
rnacentral:lncRNA from 1 species